rnacentral:rRNA from 1 species
CAACGUGGGUAACCUGCCCAAGAGAUCGGGAUAACACCUGGAAACAGAUGCUAAUACCGGAUAACAACAGAUGAUGCCUAUCAACUGUUUAAAAGAUGGUUCUGCUAUCACUCUUGGAUGGACCUGCGGUGCAUUAGCUAGUUGGUAGGGUAACGGCCUACCAAGGCGAUGAUGCAUAGCCGAGUUGAGAGACUUAUCGGCCACAUUGGGACUGAGACACGGCCCAAACUCCUACGGGAGGCAGCAGCC